GACGAACGCUGGCGGCGUGCUUAACACAUGCAAGUCGAACGGUGAAGCGCCUUCCUUUUUGGUGGGUGUGGAUGGGUGGCGAACGGGUGAGUAACACGUGAGUAACCUGCCCCCUUCUUCUGGAUAACCGCAUGAAAGUGUGGCUAAUACGGGAUAUGCUGGGUCUGUCGCAUGAUGGGUCUGGGGGAGAUAUUGUGUCGGUGGGGGAUGGGCUCGCGGCCUAUCAGCUUGUUGGUGGGGGGAUGGCCUACCAAGGCGGUGACGGGUGGCUGGCCUGAGAGGAUGGGCCGCCAUAGAGCGACUGCGAGGUCCAGCAGACUCCUACGGGCGGCAGUAGUGGAGAAUGUUGCACGGUGGGAGCCCGGCUGAAGCAGCGACGCCUCGGUGGGGAUGGCCUCCGUCUUGUUGUGAACCUCUGUCGCGAGUGAAGCGGGCCUGCCUCGUUUGUCGGUGGGUUGACGGUAGCUGGAUAAGAAGCGCCGGCUAACUACGUG
rnacentral:rRNA from 1 species